rnacentral:rRNA from 1 species
UACGUAGGGUGCAAGCGUUAAUCGGAAUUACUGGGCGUAAAGCGUGCGCAGGCGGUUUUGUAAGUCAGAUGUGAAAUCCCCGGGCUUAACCUGGGAAUGGCCGUUGAAACUGGCGAACUGGAGUGUGGCAGAGGGGGGUGGAAUUCCGCGUGUAGCAGUGAAAUGCGUAGAGAUGCGGAGGAACACCGAUGGCGAAGGCAGCCCCCUGGGCUGACACUGACGCUCAGGCACGAAAGCGUGGGGAGCAAACAGG